CCCUUAGAUGUUCUGGGCUGCACGCGCGCUACACUGCUGCAAUUAACGGGUUUUCUGUGCUGAAAGGCUUGGGGAAUCCUUUGAAUAUGCGGCGUGAUGGGGAUAGAAUAUUGUAAUUAUUACUCUUCAACGAGGAAUUCCUAGUAAGCGCGGGUCAGCAGCCCGCGCUGAUUACGUCCCUGCCCUUUGUACACACCGCCCGUCGCUCCUACCGAUUGAAUGGUCCGGUGAAAACUUGGGAUUGAAAAAUGUUUAUGAAUCCUAGAUUCAUUUGUUUUUUAAAAACUUGUUUAAAUCUUAUCAUUUAGAGGAAGGAGAANUCGUANCA
rnacentral:rRNA from 1 species